AAACAAGACAGCCAUUCUCGCUCCUCUCAGACCACUGCUCCGAGAGGCUUGCUCUCCGACGGGUCCUACAUGCUAAAUAACUCCUAUUCUUAGUUCACGUUGACUUGGUGGCUCGAGCCAGGCGACUUCUUGGCAGAUACUGCAUCUUCAGCCAGGAGAAGUUGGCUUAGUACAAAAGGGCUUUUGAAGCGGAAACUACAAGAAGAUGCAUCUGUCUUAACAAAAAAUAAUAAACCAAGAAAAUAAAAGAUAUGGGAUCCUAGAAAUAAAAGGUGCAACACAAGAGAGAGAUAAAGAAAAACAUUGACAGCCUCUCUAUGAAGAAAGACCCAAAGUAACAACUUUGCAACAGCUCUAGGGAAUAAUUUGUUCAGAUAAGAGUAACUCAGGAGACUCCAAGAGCGAUUUUCGAGAAGAUUAAAUCUAUAGAAUACCUAAUAUGUUUGCACUUGUAAAGAAGAGUUUUAUACUACUUGGAGAGAAUUUAGCAGUUCAUCUAUCAGUAUCAUUUGCAUAGAUAUAAUGUUCGCUAAAUAUUUCUAUAGCCUAAGGAAGAUGGUGAAUGAGAAGUGUGCUUAUGUGUGGCAAGGAAGAAGGGGAUUUACCAAGUGGGAAGUCCAUGGUCAAAUGCUUAAGACUUAGUAAGGCAUUUACCAAGUGGGAAGUCAAUGGGCAAAUGCUUAAGACGUAGUAAUCAGAAUGCAAAUACAUAAGUACAUGUAGAGGCAAAACAUAGCAUUGUAGUUAUGUGCGCAGAUGCUGGAGUGAGACUCUCUGGGUUCAAAUCCCAGCCCUACCAAUUACUAGUCAUGUGACUUUGGGCAAAUUGUUGACCUAUUUGAAACUCAGUUUUCUCGUAUGAAAACUGUGAUUAUAAUUACUCAUCUCAUAAGAUUUUUAUAUGAACUAACUUUCUAAAAUACUUAGAAUAGUACUUGUCACAAAGCCAGCAGUAUAAAAGUGUUGACCAUUAAAAUAAUGUCAUUAGAAACAUGGAGAUAAAUAUUAAAAGAAUAAGCUAAAACAGAAAUUGGUUGUGACAGGAGGAGAAUGAUGCACUGGGAAUAUUAUUGCUUUUCAUAACUUGGAGAAAUUUGAUUUUUUAAAGUUUGUGUUCACAUAUAAUUAAAAAAAUAGAAAACUAAAUUUUAAGUGACAAGAAUUAUAUUCUUCCAUUUAGUCAGGUGCUGGAUAAAGUAGCUUUUUUUUAGGUGUCUGCAAAUAUUAUGACAAUUAGGACAAGAAAAGUGCAUGCUAUUUUCAACCAGUUUGUAUUAAUGAUGAUCCUUAGAUGUAAGCAACAGAAGUUGAUGAAGCUGAUUUAAAUACAAUGGUUUAGUUGAAAAGAUGUUGGGGAGAUCACAGAAUGAAUUGCAAUGCUGGAGAACCAGUUAUGAAAACAUACAAGCAUGAAGGGAGGCUGCAUAGCCAUAACUAUGUCCUGAAUCACACCAAAUACCAUCAGGUGAGGAUUUCACAUCUAUCGCCAUUGGACUCGCCAUACCGUAAUUUAUACAUUUACUGACCUGGCCGCCCCAACUCUUCCUGGAAAUCAGAUGCUGCUGCCACCACAGCCAUAUCAGAAAGAAGCCUCCUCUCGUGUUGUUUUAUGUCACUAGUCCCACUUCAAGUCAUAGCCAAGUGCAUAAAUUGAUCAGGGAGGCUGGGAAGACAAACUACUUGGUGUAUAUAUAAUGUCUGUGGUAGGAGGCCAACUCUACCGCCGUCCCAGAGCCAUAAGAUAGGUAAUUUUCCAAUUACAGACUAGAUGGAAUAGACUAUAUUCUUAUAUUAAUUGCUUCUUCAUAGAAGUACAUUUAUUUACCAUCAUUGAUUCAAGUUAGCAAUAUGACUAACUUUGGCCAAUUAAAUAUAAGUAACAGUCAUUCUUCACUUCAGGACAGAAAUACUAAGAACCAGGAUAUGGUUCUCCCAAUCUACUAUUCCCUGCCAGGCAAAUCUGAAGGCAUGUUGAAAGGAUGCUUCUGUCAGCCUGAGUCCCUAAAUGACUAUGAUAAGCAAAGCUUCCUUGCCAACUUGUGAUGGACAUGUAUUAUGAGCAAGAAAUAAAUGUGAU
rnacentral:lncRNA from 1 species